AAAUCCUGGUAAAAUCCAAACCCUAGAAAUGUUGACACUGUGUGAAUCAUUUUUAGAGCAAUUGAAUCAUAUGUUUGAUUGAAAAUAGCUUUAAUACAAGAUGUCUAAUCAAAGAAAGGUUACCGGUCUUUUGGUAAAAUAAUGUAAUAAGUUUAUUCUUGGACUCAACAGUAAAAACAGACCAACAAGUGUCAUCAAGAUCUAAGACUUAGUAAACCUAGUAUCAAUUCGCACUGGUCAGUUUUUUUAUCCCAAGAAUAAACUUGUGAUAAUUUAAGCAAAAGCAAUUUCAAAUUCUUUGCCAAACUGCUUCCAGUCCUGAUGUCGGGGACUCUUUUUCACCACUGUGUUGUUGUCGUUUAUAGAUUGCAAGAGCAGGACUGCUAAAAGAAAGGCCAGUCCUGAAAAGAAGACCCCAAUAAAAGGAGGAGGGUCGCUGAGCAGGCUGGUCCUUCCACCAGCUCAGAUGUGGUCAAAGGAGUGAAGCGCAAGGUUGUGCAAGAUGAAGAGGGCACAACAAAGAAAGCAAAGAAGGCUAAACUUCUCCACCAUAUGAGCGGUGACAAGGAGCAAGCAUCCUCCUUGUUGGACUCUGGUAAAGACUUGAAUAACAAACAGGUGUGCGCAAAAAAUGGCAAAAGAAA